rnacentral:snRNA from 1 species
GUGUUAGCUUUGGCAGCACAUAUACAUAUAAUUGGAACGAUACAGAGAUGAUUAGUAUGGUCCCUGAGGAAGGACGACAUGCAAACUUGUGAAGCAUUCCGUAAUUAA